CGCCGGGAACCGUGCGAGGGGCCGCCGCCUAACCCCGCCAGGUCCGGAAGGAAGCAACGGUAAGCGUCCGGUCUCUGCGCCGCGGUAUUCCCGGCGGGG
rnacentral:SRP_RNA from 1 species